UUCCAGUCUGUGCUAGCAAAACAGUCCUGUAGCUUAGCAACAAUGAACAUAGGAUUUGGCAAGACAGCACAAACAGGUGCCAAGAACACUGAUUAAUCCCCCCAUUAUAGCAGUGCCAGUGUUGUUGGGUUUAUAGAUACCUACUUAUAUCUAUCUGUGUUAUUGAGUUGAUGAGUGCCAGUCUUCUCUACAAACAGCACAGACACAACAGGACCAUGACUGUGUCUGCACACAUAACAAUACUGUCGAUAAAGUUGAUAUAAACUAGUAUGCUGGGACAGCAACUUCCUGUCUCGUUACAUUACCGUGGUAACCAUUGCAACAUGCCUUACAGUACACUCUUAUAUCUCCUUAGACGUAAUCCGUCAGCACCACUUUAUGUUACCUCUGCUUUUGCCAAAGGGACACUCCGAUACGAUUGAGGCUCUCAGUCCAUAUUUAUAUUUCAUUAUUUGUGUCUAUUCAAGCGUUUUUUUUAAAUCUGCUGUUUGUAUUUAUUUAUUUGUUUUACUCGAAAAGUAUUGUUUUAAUUCGCCUGGUGCCCGGUAAUAUUAAUCCUUCAGACAUAUAGUUAAUUUGAUCCAAAUUCAAAUUAAAUCAUUUGCCAGUAGAAUCUCUAAUAGGACAUUGUAUACUGCUAGAAUAUAUUCAGUAGUUCUACAAAUACUGGACUUUUCCUUGAUGCGCGAAUUUGGAUUACAUUUGGAUUUUUGUUUGUGUACCAAAAAUACCUGUACUCGGUUGUUUACAAUUUAUCUCCCUUUCCAGCUUUUCCACAACAUUCCCAUUGGAAUACAUUCCCAUUUAAAACGUUUUAUUUAUACGCAUUCAUUUUCCCAAUACUUCCAAACAUAUUGUUGAAGUGUAUUGUAAGAUAUGAUUCUAUGUGUUACAUGUAAGGGCAUAAGACUGGAGGUACUCAAGCAUUCAAGGACAACUGGCUGUGUGCCUCGUGUGAAAAUCAGGAAUCUGCAACGUUGUGGGGAUUUGACCAACUAUCUUUACUACAAUAUACAAACUUAAAAAUAGACUUUCUUUGACAUCUACAUUAACUUAAAAUAGCCUUCCAUUGACAUCUACAUGAACUUGUUGGAACAGUCUGUGAAAUAAUAAUGGAUGUUACUGUAACUGUGAUGGGAUACGCACACAUUACAUGAGUAUUACUGUAACUGGGUGUUACUGUAACUACGGGUGUUACUGUAACUAUGGGUGUUACUGUAACUAUGGGUGUUACUGUAACUAUGGGGGAAGUGUAUACAGUACACACGUUACAUGUUGCUCUUGAAGUGCUUUGAAAAUAUAUCAAAUGUAAUAAAUUAUUAGUAUUAUUAUUAUUAUUAUUACUACAUGAUUGUUACGUUAACUAUGAUGGGAGAUGUGUAUACAAACAUGUUACAUGAGUGUUACAUGAACAGUGGGACAGGUUUAUACAAACAUGUUACAUGAGUGUUACAUGAACAGUGGUACAGGUUUAUACAAGCAUGUUACAUGAGUGUUACAUGAACAGAGGGACAGGUUUAUACAAACAUGUUACAUGAGUGUUACAUGAACAGUGGGACAGGUUUAUACAAACAUGUUACAUGAGUGUUACAUGAACAGUGGGACAGGUUUAUACAAACAUGUUACAUGAGUGUUACAUGAACAGUGGGAUAGGUUUAUACAAACAUGUUACAUGAGUGUUACAUGAACAGUGGUACAGGUUUAUACAAACAUGUUACAUGAGUGUUACAUGAACAGUGGGACAGGUUUAUGCAAACAUGUUACAUGAGUGUUACUUCAAUUGUGGUACAGGUUUAUACAAACAUGUUACAUGAGUGUUACUUCAACUGUGGUACAGGUUUAUACAAACAUGUUACAUGAGUGUUACUUCAACUGUGGUACAGGUUUAUACAAACAUGUUACAUGAGUGUUACAUGAACAGUGGGACAGGUUUAUACAAACAUGUUGCAGUAUGAGUGUUAUUGUAACAUGGGACAGACAGACAGACAGACAGACAGACAGACAGGCAGGCAGGCAGGCA